rnacentral:rRNA from 1 species
GACGAACGCUGGCGGCGUGCUUAACACAUGCAAGUCGAACGCUGAAGACCUGGCUUUUGUUGGGUUGGAUGAGUGGCGAACGGGUGAGUAACACGUGCGUAACCUGCCCUCUUCUUUGGGAUAACGCCCGGAAACGUGUGCUAAUACUGGAUAUUCACUGAUCUUCGCAUGGUGGUUGGUGGUAAGGUUUUUUCUUGUGGGGGAUGGGCUCGCGGCCUAUCAGCUUGUUGGUGGGGUGCUGGCCUACCAAUGCUUUGACGGGUCGCAGGGUUGGGAGGGUGACCGGUCAACUUGGGCAUGAGAUACGGCCCAGAGUGAUACGGGAGGGAGCAGUGGGGAAUAUUGGACAAAGGGCGAAAGCAUGAUGCAGCGACGCGGCGUGAGGGAUGGCGGACUUCGGGUCGUAAAAAUCUUUCGCGAAGGGUAAAGACGCAACUGUGGGUUGUGGUGAGGGUAGUGGGUAAAGAAGCGCCGGCUAACUACGUG